rnacentral:rRNA from 1 species
UAUAUAAUCUGCCCUUAUCUGGAGGAUAGCCCGGAGAAAUUCGGAUUAAUACUCAUAAUAUUAUUGUUUGGCAUCAAAUGAUAAAUUAAAGCUCAGGCGGAUAAGGAUGAAUAUGCGACUGAUUAGUUUGUUGGUGAGGUAACGGCUCACCAAGACUACGAUCAGUAGGGGUACUGAGAGGUUAAACCCCCACACUGGUACUGAGACACGGACCAG